UUAGCCAAAUCCCUUUCUCUCUCCCACCCUACCCGAUCCAUACUUUCCUUUCUCCCUCUCUCUCUCUCGUAUGCUCUCUGCUAGUCCCGAACGGCUGCCCUUCGAUGGUCGUCGUCGUGCAGACAUCAGAUCAGGAGAACCAGACACCACCGAAACUCCCCUCGCGAGCCCUUCGUUGCCGUUCUCCGCCGCGAGCAGAAGCCUCCAGGCUCGUACGUCGCUGUCGUGGCUUCAAGGCCAGUUUCUGGCCUCCUCCGACAUCGUCUAAGGAGAAAGGUAGCAUGGGUGAACUCAGGGUAUCAAGACGAACAAAGCCCAGCCAAUGAUCGGGCUUUUAAGUGACCGGAGGAUCAGGCUAAAAUAUUGAUAAGGUUGUUCGUGAGCAUGACCCGAAAGGUAGAGAUGUUGAACUAUUUCGCUGGCAUCUAUAUGGUGAUGGGAAUAAGGAAUAUCACAGGAUUGACUUUUAGGUGGAUGUCUAGAUUUAUUAGGAAGAAUAUUAACAAAAGAAACAUGAUUGAGCUUGAAGUGAUUUGGAGAAGAUAAUUAUAUUGUCUUGUUGAGAUUUAUUGUAUUAUAUAUUUUGAAGUUUAUAGAUUUAUAAUAUUAUAAUGAAUUUUUAUUGAGAAUUAUUUAGUCUCAUGGGGAUUUGAUGUAUUUAUAUUUCAAUUGUAUGAAUAAAUGUUGUAUGUAUAUGAAUUUUUAUUAUGAUAAAUAUAAUUUUUUUUUACAAAUUAUGGUAAUAAUAACUAAUUAUGUGAGUAAUUUUUUUAUUUAAAUUUAUAUCAAACUUCAAUUGUUAAAAAUAUAAUUAAAAGUUUUAAAAAAUAUUUAUCAAAAAAUAAAUUUUUUUAUACAUAAAUUUAAUGUUACGGCGACACGUAUUAACUGUUGGCGUUGCCAGUAACGACGACUCUUAUUAACUGUCGGCGUUGUAAGCAACGGUGACACGUAUUAACUGUCGGCGUUGCCAGCAACAACGACACCUAUUAAUUGUCGGCAUUGCUAGCAACGGCGACACGUAUUAACUGUCGGCGUUGUCAGCAAUGGCGACACCUAUUAACUGUCGGUAUAGCCAGCAAUGACGACACUUAUUAACUGUCGGCGUAGCUACCCUACGCUGACAUAGGCAAAUACGACAGUUAGUCGACUGUCGUCAUUGUUCAAUAGUGACAGUUAAAAACUGUCGGGAAAGCCCGUUUUUGUAGUAGUGUAUGUUUAUUCUUGAGAACUUAAGAAGAUUUUGGCUGGAAACCAAAGAAUUGAAGGCUUGGGUUAGGAUUUGAGAUUGGUUGUGGCUAGGAGAGCAUCAUUCAUAGCAGAGGUAAUGCUUUAAUCCCUGUUCCAAUUGAAUUUCUGCCAUGUUUUCCUUAAGCUUUGAGGUGUUCUUGACCUUGUGGCUCAAGUAUGAGAUUUUGGAUUUUUGGUGGGUCUUUAAUUUAGAUUUUAGUUGGGUUUUGUUGAUGGGAAGAUACUAAAGUUGUUAUGGAGAUUAAAUUGUGGUUUUAGAAUUGAAUUGGGAUAGUUUUGAUUGGGUUGGCUGAAGAAGAACCAGAGAAAUUAUGGGUUCGUGGGGGCGGGCCGUAGCUCUGUUCUUGGGGUGUCGCAACCCUUUUGAAUCCAGGGGCCAAGGAGGGUGUCUGACACGAAGGCGCGCUGCGCCGCCUGUUUGGUUGCGCCGCAAUGCGUGUCCAAUGAGAAGGGAGGAUGAGGCCUCUAACUUGGGUGGACCGCAGUGCAGGUUCCUGGGGCCAUGGCACUUAAGGGGUUUUGAGCUCGGGAGGGAUUUUGAGUGUUGGAACUCAAACCUAAGGGCUCGGGAUUGAUUCUACUACCCGGUUUAGUAGAAUUCGAGGUCCUGAAGGCUAGGACAUGGUCUGAAAGCCUUUAUUUGCUAAUUUUUGAUGGAAUCCUAUAUUAUGGUUGUGACUAGGUUAUCACUAGGGGAUCGGAACUGGGAUCGUGCUCGAGGGUCCUUCUUAUUUAUGCUAUACUCGGACCUGAGGUAAGAAAACUACCCCCCCCCAAUACACGAUAUAUGUGAUUAGGGAUUGGCCCGACCAUUAAUAAUAGUUAUGAAUUGGGCUUGGGCCCCUGAGAAUGAUUAUGUUUAUGUUAUUGUUUCCCUUGUUGAUUGAACAUACUUGAAUAUUUUGUACCUGACUAAGUGUUACAUGAUUGUUCUCAUGGUUUGCGUACUAGGGCUUAUCCUCGUUAAGGAGCAUGGUUAUUGCUAUGUUUGUGAUUUCUUAAUGAUAAAUUAUGAUUAAUAUGUAUGCAUGCUUGUAUUGUUGAAGUAUGCCUAUAUGUAUCUCUUUCUGUAUCUGUAUUUGAAUAUCUGGUUUAAGGCUUGAAUUAUUAGUCAAGGACGGAAAUAGUGCGCUAUGCGCUGGUCGAAAGGCUUAGGCCUAAAUCAGCAGCGUACUACUACGUUGGUCAACCCAAUGGUCGUUGAAAAAAAAGGCAUUUGGCUAGCUCUAUGGCUAGUUACCCAGAGCUAAGGGCGAGGUCCCUAGGUGACUCUAUGGUCACUUAACUAGGGCAAAGGGCCUUGGGUUGACUCUAUGGUCAACUAGUUAGGGCAGCGGCCCCAAAAUGGUCCAAUGACCAUUUAUUUGUAAUUGUAUGCCUGCAUGAGUAGGUUAUUCCUGUUGGACAUACUAGAUAAGUAUUUGGAAAUCUAUAUUCUCUGUUCAUGCACAUGUUUUAGUUUUCUUGCUGAGCCUCGGCUCACGAGUGCUUCAUGGUGCAUGUAAGGGAAAAGCAAAGCUUAACCAACCAUGAGUUGGAGAGCUUCGGUGGAGGCGUGUACAUAUGCGACUACUCAUCCACCACGACCGAUGAUGUCUCAGAGGAGCUAGGGUUGUAGCCCUGAUUUUUCCGCUUAGAAGCUACUCAGUCUCCACCGUUAGAAUUUCCUCCUGAUGGCCCAGUUGGCCGUCAGUCAUAAGCUCGCUUGCAAAGCCAAAGAUGCCCAAACGAGAGCUGAGGAUGACCUUAAGUAAGCCAAGGGAAAAUUGGUUACUGCAAAGACCGAGAUUGAGUGUCAGAAGAUCGAAUUUGAUCGUUCUAAAGCCGAUCAUGAUGCCACCAAGGCUAAGCUUCAUCGUGUAAAGAUUGAGCUCGAGACUAAAACUUCCAAGUUCAACUCUUUGAAACCAGAGCUCAAUUUCCUUCAGAAUCAAGUUGCCCAGCUCGAAGAGGAGAAGAAAGCCACAUUUGAUGUGAUGGAGGAAGAGAAGAACUGUCUCACAGAAGAAUUCAAAACCAAGAAAGAAGCUUCUAUGAAUCCCGACAUUGACACUUCCUUCCUAGGUUACAAGGAGGAAGCUGCCAAAGUCACAACUCAAGAGGCUGGUACCAGCGGGUAGAAGGGUGUUGAAGUGGAAUCUGCGACUACAUAGCAGUCAAAAAAACUAUAAGGGCUUCGACCCUUAUUUUGAAUUUGUAAAUAUUUAAGGUCCUUGCCCCAAGACAAUUUUAUUGCUCGAAUGGUUGAGCCAUUUUAUAUUUUGAUGCUAUACACUUUAGUUGUUAA